rnacentral:rRNA from 1 species
UUGCUUGUUUNNCAAAGAUUAAGCCAUGCAUGUCUAAGUACAGGCCUACCCAAGGCGAAACCGCAAAUGGCUCAUUAAAUCAGUCUUGAUUCAUUGGAUGUUGAUGAAUCCUUUACUCGGAUAACCGUGGCAAUUCUAGAGCUAAUACGUGCAAUGGAGCUCCGACCCCGCCAUACCAGGAGGGGGAAGGGCGCGUUUAUUAGAAUCAUAAACCGAGCGGACUCCGGUCCGUCUCAUACGAGGUUGUGAUGACUCUGAAUAACCACGCCGAGCGCUGAGGCCUUCGUGCCGGCGCCGUAUCUUUCGAGUGUCUGCCUUAUCAGCUUUCGAUUGUAGGCUAUACGCCUACAAUGGCUGUAACGGGUAACGGGGAAUCAGGGUUCGAUUCCGGAGAGGGAGCCUGAGAAACGGCUACCACAUCUAAGGAAGGCAGCAGGCACGCAAAUUACCCACUCCCGGCUCGGGGAGGUAGUGACGAUAAAUAACGAUGCGGGACUCUUCCGAGGCCUCGCAAUCGGAAUGAGUUUACUCUAAAUACUUGGACGAGGAUCCAUUGGAGGGCAAGUCUGGUGCCAGCAGCCGCGGUAAUUCCAGCUCCAAUAGCGUAUAUUAAAGUUGCUGCGGUUAAAAAGCUCGUAGUUGGACUUUAAGAUACGUGCCGGCGGCCCAUCCAAGGCGCGCCCUCGCCGACCCGCUGGGGGACGGGGAUGACGUUCGCGCUCGGCGGCGAGGUCGGUUCAUCCUACCCGUCGUCGCCUGCGGCGCUCCUCUUCCACCCCGAUAGCGAUUUCGAUCAUUGCCAAACAACCUCCCUUCCUUUCGUUAACCUCGGAGUUAGCCCAUCUUCGCUAACUGCCCAUCCCCAUUCGGUCAGCGUCUUUGCGCCUUCGGGCAACCCCCCUUUACGCUUCUUUCUCACGGGGUCGUUCGCAGUGGCGGGUGCGGGUCACCGACGAUUAACCUCGUCGCCCCCUCCCUACCCACUCUUUCGGCUAUUCCAAACCGCGAGCUAAGGACUAUCGGCGGGGCUUAAAAGCGCUAUUACACGGCCGAGCGGGGUGGUAAGCGGUAAACGGAGAGUAUAAAGGCUUCUUCGCCGGUGAAGGGGUAACAUAAGGGUUGGCGUAAUUGGUAUCGUUCGUUCGUCGCUGAGGGGUUAUCCCGCGAGCGGCGGGUAAGCGCGCCCGGUGGUUCACUGGCCGGUCACGAAUUUUUAAAAGCCGUCGGCUCUCACGGGGUGCUCUUUACCGAGUGUCCCGCGUGGCCGACACGUUCACUUUGAAAAAAUUAGAGUGCUCAAAGCAGGCAAAUGUUAUAGCCUGAAUGUCGAUGCAUGGAAUGAUGGAACAGGACCUCGGUUCUGCAUUUUUCUCUCGGUUUUCCGAACCCGAGGUAAUGAUUAACGGGAACGGACGGGGGCAUUAGUAUUGCGACGCUAGAGGUGAAAUUCUUGGACCGUCGCAAGACUAACUACUGCGAAAGCAUUUGCCAAGAACGCUUUCAUUAAUCAAGAACGAAAGUUAGAGGAUCGAAGGCGAUCAGAUACCGCCCUAGUUCUAACCUUAAACGAUGCCAACUGGCGAUCCGCUUAAGUCAUUCCCACGACUGAGCGGGGAGCCCCCGGGAAACCGAAGUCUUUGGGUUCCGGGGGAAGUAUGGUUGCAAAGCUGAAACUUAAAGGAAUUGACGGAAGGGCACCACCAGGAGUGGAGCCUGCGGCUUAAUUUGACUCAACACGGGGAACCUCACCAGGCCCAGACACCGGAAGGAUUGACAGAUUGAGAGCUCUUUCUCGAUUCGGUGGGUGGUGGUGCAUGGCCGUUCUUAGUUGGUGGAGCGAUCUGUCUGGUUGAUUCCGAUAACGAACGAGACUCUACCCUAUUAACUAGUCGGNGGAUCGUAUCCCGAGACGGGUUCCCUACCGGGGGGUUCKGUGCSGUACUUCGGGCCUCCGGCCGCGGCGUCCUUCCUCYKAAASMGRCGANCGCUACGUUCGUGUCNCCGUGCCUCNNUUCUCUUCCCCCCUCGCCUUUCUCCCUGGUCGGGCUUGGGUCGCUUCGCGGCNGCUCWCGCWUSGUGCUUACGNAGGGGGUGGGGUAAGGGAAGGNGGCGCGCGCGCGGCGGUCGGGCGCCACCGCGUUCGUGCGCGUANGGGGGUUUAAAAGGNGGCGUCGCGCGUCUUANGAGGAAUCGCGUCCGCGCUCGUUACACCCCCUCGCGUAAGGCCCAGCNAGGGGAGUCCUCCGCAACGUCUUCUUAGAGGGAUCGGCGGCGUCCAGCCGCACGAGAGAGAGCAAUAACAGGUCUGUGAUGCA